UACGGGGGGAGCAAGCGUUGCUCGGAUUUACUGGGCGUAAAGGGCGCGUAGGCGGUCGUGACAGGUCACUUGUGAAAUCUCCGGGCUUAACUCGGAACGGUCAAGUGAUACUGUCGGACUAGAGUACAGAAGGGGCAACUGGAAUUCUCGGUGUAGCGGUGAAAUGCGUAGAUAUCGAGAGGAACACCUGCGGCGAAGGCGGGUUGCUGGGCUGAUACUGACGCUGAGGCGCGAAAGCCAGGGGAGCGAACGGG
rnacentral:rRNA from 1 species